CCUACGGGAGGCAGCAGUGAGGAAUAUUGGUCAAUGGGCGCGAGCCUGAACCAGCCAAGUCGCGUGAGGGAAGACGGUCCUAUGGGUUGUAAACCUCUUUUGUCGGGGAGCAAAAGACGCCACGCGUGGCGUUCCGAGAGUACCCGAAGAAAAAGCAUCGGCUAACUCCGUGCCAGCAGCCGCGGUAAUACGGAGGAUGCGAGCGUUAUCCGGAUUUAUUGGGUGUAAAGGGUGCGCAGGCGGACGCUUAAGUCAGUCGGUAAAGUUGGGGGCCUAACCUUAUCCGUGCGGUUGAAACUGGGUGUCUUGAGUGAAGGAGAAGUAGGCGGAAUGCGUGGUGUAGCGGUGAAAUGCAUAGAUAUCACGCAGAACUCCGAUUGCGAAGGCAGCAUACUGG
rnacentral:rRNA from 1 species